AUAUCAAUAAGCGGAGGAAAAGAAACUAACUAGGAUUCCCCUAGUAACGGCGAGUGAACCGGGAUGAGCCCAACUUGAAAAUCUCCAGCCCUCGGCUGGCGAAUUGUAGUCUCUAGAGGCUUCCUCUGCGGCAGGCCAGGCCCAAGUUUCCCUGGAAAGGGGCGUCAAAGAGGGUGAGAACCCCGUAGGCCUGUGCUGCUGUCGCUCCACGAGGUGCCUUCGCAGAGUCGGGUUGCUUGGGAAUGCAGCCCUAAGUAGGUGGUAAAUCCCAUCUAAGGCUGAAUAUGGACGGGAGACCGAUAGCGCACAAGUA
rnacentral:rRNA from 1 species